UCCGGCAAUGGACGAAAGUCUGACCGAGCAACGCCGCGGGGAGGGAAGAAGGUUUCGGAUCGUAAACUCUGUUGUAGAGAGACAAGGAUGAGAGUAGAACGUUCAUCCCUUGACGGUAUCUAACCAGAAAGCCACGGCUAACUACGUGCCAGCAGCCGCGGUAAUACGUAGGUGGCAAGCGUUGUCCGGAUUUAUUGGGCGUAAAGCGAGCGCAGGCGGUUUCUUAAGUCUGAUGUGAAAGCCCCCGGCUCAACCGGGGAGGGUCAUUGGAAACUGGGAGACUUGAGUGCAGAAGAGGAGAGUGGAAUUCCAUGUGUAGCGGUGAAAUGCGUAGAUAUAUGGAGGAACACCAGUGGCGAAGGCGGCUCUCUGGUCUGUAACUGACGCUGAGGCUCGAAAGCGUGGGGAGCGAACAGGAUUAGAUACCCUGGUAGUCCACGCCGUAAACGAUGAGUGCUAAGUGUUGGAGGGUUUCCGCCCUUCAGUGCUGCAGCAAACGCAUUAAGCACUCCGCCUGGGGAGUACGACCGCAAGGUUGAAACUCAAAGGAAUUGACGGGGGCCCGCACAAGCGGUGGAGCAUGUGGUUUAAUUCGAAGCAACGCGAAGAACCUUACCAGGUCUUGACAUCCUUUGACCACUCUAGAGAUAGAGCUUCCCCUUCGGGGGCAAAGUGACAGGUGGUGCAUGGUUGUCGUCAGCUCGUGUCGUGAGAUGUUGGGUUAAGUCCCGCAACGAGCGCAACCCUUAUUGUUAGUUGCCAUCAUUUAGUUGGGCACUCUAGCGAGACUGCCGGUGACAAACCGGAGGAAGGUGGGGAUGACGUCAAAUCAUCAUGCCCCUUAUGACCUGGGCUACACACGUGCUACAAUGGGAAGUACAACGAGUUGCGAAGUCGCGAGGCUAAGCUAAUCUCUUAAAGCUUCUCUCAGUUCGGAUUGUAGGCUGCAACUCGCCUACAUGAAGCCGGAAUCGCUAGUAAUCGCGGAUCAGCACGCCGCGGUGAAUACGUUCCCGGGCCUUGUACACACCGCCCGUCACACCACGAGAGUUUGUAACACCCGAAGUCGGUGAGGUAACCACGUGGAGCCACCGUCCGGUAGAGUAAAAGA
rnacentral:rRNA from 1 species